rnacentral:rRNA from 1 species
ACUUUAAUUGAAGAGUUUGAUCAUGGCUCAGAUUGAACGCUGGCGGCAGGCCUAACACAUGCAAGUCGAGCGGUAACAUUUCAAAAGCUUGCUUUUGAAGAUGACGAGCGGCGGACGGGUGAGUAAUGCCUGGGAAUUUGCCCAUUUGUGGGGGAUAACAGUUGGAAACGACUGCUAAUACCGCAUACGCCCU